rnacentral:lncRNA from 1 species
GUAUCUCCGCCCCUAACUCUUUUAAGUGUGAACCCCGAACCGAACCUACAUCUUGAGUUUUAGCACCCGGAACUUCUUAUAGAGGCCUCGACCUAGAGCAGAGCGUAAGCACCAACCCUAGCUACUUUACCCGGUCUGAAACUAAGGUAUUUGAAUUAGAUACAAGGGGGGGGCGCAGGGCCCAAAACACAGGACAUAGGCACUUUCACUCAUAUGGUACUGCAGCCCGACCUCUCAUAACCAGACUUUAGAACCAGAAC